UCUAAGGAAGGCAGCAGGCGCGCAAAUUACCCAAUUCUAACAGCAUAAGAGAGGUAGUGACAAGAAAUAACAGUACAAGGCAGUUAAAAUGCUUUGUAAUUGGAAUGAUAGA
rnacentral:rRNA from 1 species